AAUUCUUCAGAAUACUAACUUGUCGAGUUAGAGGAUCUAAUAAUUAGA
rnacentral:tRNA from 1 species